rnacentral:rRNA from 1 species
GAUGAACGCUGACAGAAUGCUUAACACAUGCAAGUCUUUGGUGAAGCUGUGCUUGCACAGCCUAGCCAAGGCGGACGGGUGAGUAACGCGUAAGGAACUUGCCCUGCAGUCAGGGAUAACAGACGGAAACGACUGAUAAGACCUGGUAAAGUCAGGCGGACUCAUGUCCAGCCUGAUGAAAAGAGAUGCUGCAGGAGAGCCUUGCGUCCUAUUAGCUUGUUGGUGGGGUAACGGCCCACCAAGGCAAUGAUAGGUAGCCGGCCUAAGAGGGUGGACGGCCACAAGGGGACUGAGAUACGGCCCUUACUCCUACGGGAGGCAGCAGUGGGGAAUAUUGGACAAUGGGGGCAACCCUGAUCCAGCAAUUCUGUGUGCACGAUGAAGGUUUUCGGAUUGUAAAGUGCUUUCAGCAGGGAAGAAAAAAAUGACGGUACCUGCAGAAGAAGCGACGGCUAAAUACGUG